GAUCCUGGCUCAGAUUGAACGCUGGCGGAAUGCUUUACACAUGCAAGUCGAACGGUAGAGGGGGCAACCCUCGAGAGUGGCGAACGGGUGAGUAAUAUAUCGGAACGUGCCCAGUCGUGGGGGAUAACGUAGCGAAAGUUACGCUAAUACCGCAUACGAUCUACGGAUGAAAGCGGGGGAUCGCAAGACCUCGCGCGAUUGGAGCGGCCGAUAUCAGAUUAGGUAGUUGGUGGGGGUAAAGGCUCACCAAGCCAACGAUCUGUAGCUGGUCUGAGAGGACGACCAGCCACACUGGAACUGAGACACGGUCCAGACUCCUACGGGAGGCAGCAGUGGGGAAUUUUGGACAAUGGACGCAAGUCUGAUCCAGCCAUUCCGCGUGCAGGAUGAAGGCCCUCGGGUUGUAAACUGCUUUUGUACGGAACGAAAAGGUUUCUAUUAAUACUAGGAGCUCAUGACGGUACCGUAAGAAUAAGCACCGGCUAACUACGUG
rnacentral:rRNA from 1 species